ACGACCUUACUUGAACAGGAUCUGUUCUAUAGGCUCGUACCGCUGCAUCCUUUACCAAUAAGGAGGCAAGCACUUCAGUCUGGUUGAUGAACUUUAAUCUCUGGGCCAGAGCGUGAUUAACGGCCAGGAUUCCUCUGAUGGAGGCUAUCGGUCGGCUGUAGAGGAUCGUUCCUGCCUGGCCAUGCUUGGUGCAGGGUGGCCCAGAGGUUGUCUGACAGACU
rfam:Triticum aestivum genome assembly, contig: Triticum_aestivum_CS42_TGACv1_scaffold_602975_7DL